UGGGCGGAGCUGGUCGUUGCCAUCUUGGCAGCACGUCACCGCACAUCACUCCCGGAUAACGAAAAAUGGGCAAAGACGCAGGUCGUGGGUGGAGCUGAUGCAACGUUUUGCUGAAACCACUCCCGCCUAGCUCGACGUGACCGAGUUAGCUCAUGCUAAGGAGCUAAUGCUAUAUGCUACUCUGCGUUAGCAGAGGUAGCUUCUAAAUCCCCAGUGCUGUAUGGUGGAGGUUGGAACCUGUGACUGUUGUUGCUACCAGUCUAUGGUCGUUACCAGCUCACAGUCAAAGGCUGUGAGAUUAUUGUCUGGAAUAGGACACUUGAAAGAGAAAGAGUCACAUUGUGGAUCAGAUGUCCCACCUGGAGCCCAGAGACCUGGGAUGCAUCCUCAGUGUGCUGGAAGUCUAGAUCUGUUGGGGUGGACUGACAUGGAAAGGCCUUCUCUCCUUUGGGUUAUAGUUCAUUUAUAUAAAAAAAGAAAAGAAAAAAAAGAUGGUUUAUGGUUCACAUUGAAAUUCUCUAUCUUAUACUUUAAAAUAAAUAAGGAGCCAUACACCUAGUAACAGAGCUUGAAGUUUCUGAAGAGUGCCUUGUUUGCUGCUCUGAUAUAGGUCUAGCUUAAACACAGAAUAAUUUCAACACCUCCAAACCAUCCAGUGGGUAACUGCUGAAACAAAGA